UGGGGAAUUUUGGACAAUGGGGGAAACCCUGAUCCAGCCAUCCCGCGUGUGCGAUGAAGGCCUUCGGGUUGUAAAGCACUUUUGGCAGGAAAGAAACGUCGCGGGUUAAUACCCCGCGAAACUGACGGUACCUGCAGAAUAAGCACCGGCUAACUACGUGCCAGCAGCCGCGGUAAUACGUAGGGUGCAAGCGUUAAUCGGAAUUACUGGGCGUAAAGCGUGCGCAGGCGGUUCGGAAAGAAAGAUGUGAAAUCCCAGAGCUUAACUUUGGAACUGCAUUUUUAACUACCGGGCUAGAGUGUGUCAGAGGGAGGUGGAAUUCCGCGUGUAGCAGUGAAAUGCGUAGAUAUGCGGAGGAACACCGAUGGCGAAGGCAGCCUCCUGGGAUAACACUGACGCUCAUGCACGAAAGCGUGGGGAGCAAACAGGAUUAGAUACCCUGGUAGUCCACGCCCUAAACGAUGUCAACUAGCUGUUGGGGCCUUCGGGCCUUGGUAGCGCAGCUAACGCGUGAAGUUGACCGCCUGGGGAGUACGGUCGCAAGAUUAAAACUCAAAGGGAUUGGAC
rnacentral:rRNA from 1 species